rnacentral:lncRNA from 1 species
GGUUGAAGGUGUUUGGGUUUUUUUUUUUUUUUUUUUUUUUUGGUACUGGGGAUUGAACUUGGGUCCUUGCGCUUGCGAGGCAGGCCACCAAACCGCUGAGCUAAAUCCCGGCCCUGGUUUAGGGUCAUCUUAAGACAGAAUGGAAAGAAUCUGUUGUCUUUCUGUCAGCCAUGUUCUGACGUGGUACAGUCCAAGGACAGUUGUGGUCCAGGCCUCAGGGGUGGGCACAGCUGCUGAUGCUGACAGCUAACUCCUGCCCUGCGCUCGCCUCCCAGUAACCACUGGUGAAUUUUGAUGCUCAGCUGCUCUCUUGUCAGUAAGACUUUCCUGCACGAGAAAUUGGGGGUAAGCCACUUGUAGUACUUGUUUAAAGUUCUUUUCAGGGGAGAAAUUAUACCCGG